GAUGAACGCUAGCUACAGGCUUAACACAUGCAAGUCGAGGGGCAGCAUUUUAGUUUGCUUGCAAACUGAAGAUGGCGACCGGCGCACGGGUGAGUAACACGUAUCCAACCUGCCGAUAACUCCGGGAUAGCCUUUCGAAAGAAAGAUUAAUACCGGAUAGUAUACGAAUAUCGCAUGAUAUUUUUAUUAAAGAAUUUCGGUUAUCGAUGGGGAUGCGUUCCAUUAGUUUGUUGGCGGGGUAACGGCCCACCAAGACUACGAUGGAUAGGGGUUCUGAGAGGAAGGUCCCCCACAUUGGAACUGAGACACGGUCCAAACUCCUACGGGAGGCAGCAGUGAGGAAUAUUGGUCAAUGGGCGCGAGCCUGAACCAGCCAAGUAGCGUGAAGGAUGAAGGCUCUAUGGGUCGUAAACUUCUUUUAUAUGGGAAUAAAGUUUUCCACGUGUGGAAUUUUGUAUGUACCAUAUGAAUAAGGAUCGGCUAACUCCGUGCCAGCAGCCGCGGUAAUACGGAGGAUCCGAGCGUUAUCCGGAUUUAUUGGGUUUAAAGGGAGCGUAGGUGGAUUGUUAAGUCAGUUGUGAAAGUUUGCGGCUCAACCGUAAAAUUGCAGUUGAAACUGGCAGUCUUGAGUACAGUAGAGGUGGGCGGAAUUCGUGGUGUAGCGGUGAAAUGCUUAGAUAUCACGAAGAACUCCGAUUGCGAAGGCAGCUCACUAGACUGUCACUGACACUGAUGCUCGAAAGUGUGGGUAUCAAACAGGAUUAGGUACCCUGGUAGUCCACACAGUAAACGAUGAAUACUCGCUGUUUGCGAUAUACAGUAAGCGGCCAAGCGAAAGCAUUAAGUAUUCCACCUGGGGAGUACGCCGGCAACGGUGAAACUCAAAGGAAUUGACGGGGGCCCGCACAAGCGGAGGAACAUGUGGUUUAAUUCGAUGAUACGCGAGGAACCUUACCCGGGCUUAAAUUGCAACAGAAUAUAUUGGAAACAGUAUAGCCGUAAGGCUGUUGUGAAGGUGCUGCAUGGUUGUCGUCAGCUCGUGCCGUGAGGUGUCGGCUUAAGUGCCAUAACGAGCGCAACCCUUAUCUUUAGUUACUAACAGGUUAUGCUGAGGACUCUAGAGAGACUGCCGUCGUAAGAUGUGAGGAAGGUGGGGAUGACGUCAAAUCAGCACGGCCCUUACGUCCGGGGCUACACACGUGUUACAAUGGGGGGUACAGAAGGCGGCUACCUGGUGACAGGAUGCUAAUCCCAAAAACCUCUCUCAGUUCGGAUCGAAGUCUGCAACCCGACUUCGUGAAGCUGGAUUCGCUAGUAAUCGCGCAUCAGCCAUGGCGCGGUGAAUACGUUCCCGGGCCU
rnacentral:rRNA from 1 species